GGGCGGUUAGCUCAGUUGGUAGAGCGUCUGAUUUACACCCAGUAGGUCGGCGGUUCGAACCCGUCACCGCCCACCA
rnacentral:tRNA from 1 species